rnacentral:rRNA from 1 species
AUUGAACGCUGGCGGCAUGCCUUACACAUGCAAGUCGAACGGUAACAGGUCUUCGGACGCUGACGAGUGGCGAACGGGUGAGUAAUACAUCGGAACGUGCCCAGUCGUGGGGGAUAACUACUCGAAAGAGUGGCUAAUACCGCAUACGAUCUGAGGAUGAAAGCGGGGGACCUUCGGGCCUCGCGCGAUUGGAGCGGCCGAUGGCAGAUUAGGUAGUUGGUGGAAUAAAAGCUUACCAAGCCGACGAUCUGUAGCUGGUCUGAGAGGACGACCAGCCACACUGGGACUGAGACACGGCCCAGACUCCUACGGGAGGCAGCAGUGGGGAAUUUUGGACAAUGGGCGAAAGCCUGAUCCAGCAAUGCCGCGUGCAGGGUGAAGGCCUUCGGGUUGUAAACUGCUUUUGUACGGAACGAAAAAGCUUCCCCUAAUACGGGAGGCCCAUGACGGUACCGUAAGAAUAAGCACCGGCUAACUACGUGCCAGCAGCCGCAGUAACAC